rnacentral:lncRNA from 1 species
GCAGAAAUGGUUCUGGAACACAGGCUGUUAUUCUGUCCCUUGUCAUCAGUGUCACGGGCAGACACGAGCCAACCACACCGCUCAGGACUGGCACCACAGGAACAGGCUCCUGCGUGCUGGGGGACCCUCCUCUCCAUCGUACGGAUCAAUGAAAGAGCAGGCUUUACCAGGGGUUUGAAUUAAAUCCAUCCAAACGAAGACUUGAUAUUCAAGGCUGCCCCUCAGGAAAGAGGGGUUUUGCAUUCAUUAAUAUUGCCUUGGGAUGAAGGAAGGAGCAGGGGAGCCCUGAUUGACCUUGGACAUUUAUAAAGGUUUAAACAAAUAGACCCAAUCCAGCACAGACCUGGCCCAGCGACUGCGCUCCUUAAAGUGCCGUGAAACGCAGGCUUGGAGAAACCUGUGACCUGACCUGCGAACUCAGGGAGGAACCACAGGUGAUGUCGUACACAGUCUGUUUACAACCUCGGGGCUAGUGAAAAUGAAACCGAACUAGGAGAACGCAGCCCAUUGACCAGACCCAGACCUGCCAACGCUGCCUCCUUUAAUCUGCUAACUAAACAAUACGACACAUGGCAGCACAACGGUGAGGAUGUGGUUUCACAGCCUGCUGAGAAUGCCCAUCUUUGGUUAAAAAGAAAAAGGAAUAUUUUAUCUGAUUUACAUAUUGCACAUUAAAUAA